AGCUCCAAUAGCGUAUAUUAAAGUUGUUGCAGUUAAAAAGUUCGUAGUCGAAUUUUGGGUCUGGUGGAGUGCGGUCCGCUUGAUUGCGUUGUACUGUCCCGCCGGGCCUUUACCUCCUGUGUGAACUGGGGGUGGGUGCCGGACGACGACGGCCCCGCUCUUGGGGAACCGGGACAAUUACCUUGAGGAAAUCAGAGUGUUCAAAGCAGGCUUCAGGCUCGAAUGUAUUAGCAUGGGAUAAUGGAAUAGGACGUGCGGUCCGUGUUUCGUUGGUUUUGGGAUUCGCCGUAAUGAUUAAUAGGAACAGUCGGGGGCAUUCGUACUCAGCCGCUAGAGGUGAAAUUCUUGGAUUGGCUGAAGACGGACUACUGCGAAAGCAUCUGCCAAGGAUGUUUUCA
rnacentral:rRNA from 1 species